AUUGAACGCUGGCGGCAGGCCUAACACAUGCAAGUCGAACGAGUGGCGGACGGGUGAGUAAUGUCUGGGAAACUGCCUGAUGGAGGGGGAUAACUACUGGAAACGGUAGCUAAUACCGCAUACCAUCAGAUGUGCCCAGGUGGGAUUAGCUAGUUGGUGGGGUAACGGCUAACAAGGGCGACGAUCCCUAGCUGGUCUGAGAGGAUGACCAGCCACACUGGAACGGAGAGACGGUCCAGACUCCUACGUGAGGCAGCAGUGGGGAAUAUUGCACAAUGGGCGCAAGCCUGAUGCAGCCAUGCCGCGUGGAUGAAGAAGGCCUUCGGGUUGUAAAGUACUUUCAGCGGGGAGUCGUUACCCGCAGAAGAAGCACCGGCUAACUCCGUGCCAGCAGCCGCGGUAAUAC
rnacentral:rRNA from 1 species